GAGGGGAGUUAGUUCAUCUUUUCCAGUUGGAAUCUCUCUCCCAGCAUCCUCUUCGAAUUCUUCUUCACUUGGCUUCAGCUUGUACACCUGCAGGGACGGAGAGCUCACUACCUCCCCGGGGAUCUAGCUCUGGCUGCAUCAGUAUGAAAACACUCCCUCAAGUUUGUGGAGUGCUUAAUAAGUCUUCAAGACUCAGAGUGGUUUCCUGGGAAACAGAGCAGCUUGCUCAACCCCCAGGGACAUGGUGUGGUCUGGAUUACAAGUGAAGAAAUUUAGAAGGAGCCAAAAACCUCACGUUUUGUUGCCACGAGAGAGAGGACAUGUUGUGGACCCACAAGCAGAGGCUUUAUUGUGCUGGAUCUUCCCUACCAGAUGAGACCGAAAUCAAAGACCAGAAAUUGCAACUGAAAACAUUUCGUCCAACAACUCGAGGGAAGAAAUCGGGACAGCUUAAACUCCUGGUGGUUCCAGCACUGGCUGACCGUCUUGUUUUACCCUAUGACACUGUCAGGGACCGGAGACUUUCACCCAUGUGUUCAAGGGUUUUAUAUUCUAGUGUGGCUUGGUGUGAUGAAGUAGAUGGUGAUGAAACUCAAGACUCACUCCUUUGACAAAUGCCCAAGUGGUGCUGAUGCUGGGAGUCCAGGCAGCAUUCUCUGAGAAUCACUGCUUUAUUUACUAUAAAUACACAGAGUUAGUAGGCACUUGGCCCUGGGGAUGUGAAGUGAGUAAGGCAAAGUGGUACCCACUCAUUGGAUAGAAUCAAGCCAGGGCAUCAUGUGAUGGGUUAGAAAGCAGGUUCUAGAAUUAGACACAAUGGAUUCAAGGCCGGAGUCUGUGACUAUACAUGGAAGAGCCGCCUAAUUUUUUGAAAUUGUCUCAUGGGAAUAAUUAUGUAUCAUGUCUCAGUUGACCAGAGGAACAGUUGAGAAAACGGAUAUAGACAUGUGUGCUCAGAAGUGUUUGAUGGGAGAAGGCAGUACGAUGAAGGCUCUGAAAAGUCUCUGUGGCAGUUGUUUCUGGAUUUCAGAAUGUGCUUUUAGGUUGCCAUCACCAUAGGCUUCUCAAAUCAAUAAGCCACAGAGCACCUUUGAUAGCAAAAGAUGAGACAGACUCCUGCAGCAUGCUCCUUGGGACUGGGGCCCUCCACUGUCCACAGACAGGAUUCUUGCUCCUUUGCUGGAUGCUUGAAUGA
rnacentral:lncRNA from 1 species